GUCCACGCCCUAAACGAUGUCAACUGGUUGUUGGGUCUUCACUGACUCAGUAACGAAGCUAACGCGUGAAGUUGACCGCCUGGGGAGUACGGCCGCAAGGUUGAAACUCAAAGGAAAUUGACGGGGGACCCGGCCACAAGCGGUGGGAUGAUGUGGGUUUUAAUUUCGAUGCAACGCGAAAAACCUUUAACCCCACCUUUGUACAUGUACGGAAGUCGCUAGAGAUAGCUUCGUGCUCGAAAGAGAGCCGUAACACAGGUGCUGCAUGGCUGUCGU
rnacentral:rRNA from 1 species